rnacentral:miRNA from 12 species
GAAAGAAAUAUAUAGGUCAGAAAAAAUUACUAGGAUAUGAGGCUAGUGUCAGUGGUGGAUGCUGCAAUGCAUGGAUUUCAUAUACUGUAUUAUCUUUUUUCUGCCUGAUGCCUCUCAUUCC